rnacentral:rRNA from 1 species
AGAACGAACGCUGGCGGCGCGUUUUAAGCAUGCAAGUCGGACGGCAAGCACUGUAGCAAUAUGGUGCCUAGAGUGGCGAACGGGUGAGUAACACGUAGGUGAUCUGCCUUUGGAUGGGGGAUAGCCCGUGGAAACACGGGGUAAUACCGCAUGAGGCCUUGGGGGUAAAGCCCUGAGGUGAAAGGUGCAAUUGCACCGUCUGGGGAUGAGCCUGCGGUCCAUUAGUUAGUUGGCGGGGUAAGAGCCCACCAAGACGACGAUGGAUAGCCGGCCUGAGAGGGUGUACGGCCACACUGGAACUGAGACACGGUCCAGACUCCUACGGGAGGCAGCAGCUAAGAAUCUUCCGCAAUGGGGGCAACCCUGACGGAGCGACGCCGCGUGGAUGAUGAAGGCCGUAAGGUUGUAAAAUCCUUUUGUCGGUGAAGAAUAAGGAGGGGAGUGGAAAGCCCCUCUGAUGACGUUAGCCGGCGAAUAAGCCCCGGCCAAUUACGUGCCAGCAGCCGCGGUAAUACGUAUGGGGCAAGCGUUGUUCGGAGUUAUUGGGCGUAAAGGGCGUGUAGGCGGCUCAUCAAGUCUGGUGUGAAAUCGCAAGGCUCAACCUUGCAUAUGCGCUGGAAACUGGUGGGCUUGAGUUCUUGAGGGGAAGCUGGAAUUCCAGGUGUAGGGGUGAAAUCUGUAGAUAUCUGGAAGAACACCGGUGGCGAAGGCGAGCUUCUAUCAGAGGACUGACGCUGAGGCGCGAAAGCGUGGGGAGCAAACAGGAUUAGAUACCCUGGUAGUCCACGCUGUAAACGAUGUGCACUAGGCGUGGGGCCCGUACGGGUUCUGUGCCGUAGUUAACGUGAUAAGUGCACCGCCUGGGGAGUAUGCUCGCAAGG